AGCAACUUGUCAAGCAAGUGCAUGACGUCAGAGAAUGUGAGACUGUAUUUCGUGUGCCAGAAUCGAUUGAAGUCAUCGCGAUUGCCGACUUGUCCAGGCUGGGCUAUCGCGGCCACAACUCCAUCAAUUCCGAGGUCUAGGAAUGCACCCUUGACGUGCCAACCUAAACCAUCCAAACUCACAUCCUCUUCAGCCACAUACAGCUGUUUGAACCGCUU
rnacentral:misc_RNA from 1 species